rnacentral:rRNA from 1 species
AUGGUUAUGAGGUUGAAACAAGAAGGAAAAGGAAGAAUUGGAUGGAAAGAAAGGUAUGCUCUGUUUAUACUUACAUGGGGUGGUGGUUCUUGCACUUCCAUUGGAUCUGGAUUCAUGCUGAGAAAUGAACAAAACCAAACAAACAAAAAUGAGAAACCAAAAAGAAACAAAAACAAGGAACGGGGGAGGAGGAAGAAACAUACCUCGGCUCUCUUUUCUCCUCUUCGUCUUCUCCCAGAGCGAGCCAAGGAGCAGCAGCAGAGCAGCGCGAGCCAAGGAGGGCGGCGGCGAGAUCUAGGGUUUCGGCUGUGGGAAUAG